CGAUGUGAGAGCCAUCUGCCUGUGACACCCGUCACCACACUGAUCUCCAGGCUUGAGUCUGCCCAUGUGCCUGCCCAAGCCCAGGUCCCCUUCCUCACCCAGCGCUCCAUAUGCAUCCCUCCCAAAGCUGCUGGGGCACAGAGUACGACCUCCCCGAUACAGACAGUAUAUUUUAUCACUCAAGGCUAUUUGGCAGCUGCACUCCCUGCUACAGCUUCCAUACUUGACCAAGCUCCAUUCCUAGGAGGGUUUUCCCAGUAGUCAGACAUAAAAUUUUAGGCAAAAUGAGACUGAAA
rnacentral:snRNA from 1 species